rnacentral:rRNA from 1 species
GACGAACGCUGGCGGCGUGCUUAACACAUGCAAGUCGAACGGAAAGGCCCUGCUUUUGUGGGGUGCUCGAGUGGCGAACGGGUGAGUAACACGUGAGUAACCUGCCCUUGACUUUGGGAUAACUUCAGGAAACUGGGGCUAAUACCGGAUAGGAGCUCCUGCUGCAUGGUGGGGGUUGGAAAGUUUCGGCGGUUGGGGAUGGACUCGCGGCUUAUCAGCUUGUUGGUGGGGUAGUGGCUUACCAAGGCUUUGACGGGUAGCCGGCCUGAGGGGGUGACCGGCCACAUUGGGACUGAGGUACGGCCCAGCCUCCUACGGGAGGCAGCAGUGGGGAAUAUUGCACAAUGGGCGGAAGCCUGAUGCAGCAACGCCGCGUGCGGGAUGACGGCCUUCGGGUUGUAAACCGCUUUCGCCUGUGACGAAGCGUGAGUGACGGUAAUGGGUAAAGAAGCACCGGCUAACUACGUG